rnacentral:rRNA from 1 species
GCAGUCGAACGAUGAAGCUUAGCUUGCUAGGUGGAUUAGUGGCGAACGGGUGAGUAACACGUAGGUAAUCUGCCCUGCACUUUGGGAUAAGCCUGGGAAACUGGGUCUAAUACCGAAUAGGACAUGUCAUCUUUGGGUGGUGUGUGGAAAGCUUUUGCGGUGUGGGAUGAGCCUGCGGCCUAUCAGCUUGUUGGUGGGGUAAUGGCCUACCAAGGCGUCGACGGGUAGCCGGCCUGAGAGGGUGUACGGCCACAUUGGGACUGAGACACGGCCCAGACUCCUACGGGAGGCAGCAGUGGGGAAUAUUGCACAAUGGGCGAAAGCCUGAUGCAGCGACGCCGCGUGGGGGAUGAAGGCCUUCGGGUUGUAAACUCCUUUCGCUAGGGACGAAGAGAAAUUGACGGUACCUGGAGAAGAAGCACCGGCUAACUACGUGCCAGCAGCCGCGGUAAUACGUAGGGUGCGAGCGUUGUCCGGAAUUACUGGGCGUAAAGAGCUCGUAGGUGGUUUGUCGCGUCGUCUGUGAAAUCCCGGGGCUUAACUCCGGGCGUGCAGGCGAUACGGGCAUAACUUGAGUGCUGUAGGGGAGACUGGAAUUCCUGGUGUAGCGGUGAAAUGCGCAGAUAUCAGAGGAACACCAAUGGCGAAGCAGGUCUCUGGGCAGUAACUGACG